AGCGAACGCUGGCGGCAGGCCUAACACAUGCAAGUCGAACGAACUCUUCGGAGUUAGUGGCGGACGGGUGAGUAACACGUGGGAACGUGCCUUUUGGUUCGGAAUAACUCAGGGAAACUUGUGCUAAUACCGAAUGUGCCCUUCGGGGGAAAGAUUUAUCGCCAUUAGAGCGGCCCGCGUCUGAUUAGCUAGUUGGUGAGGUAACGGCUCACCAAGGCGACGAUCAGUAGCUGGUCUGAGAGGAUGACCAGCCACACUGGGACUGAGACACGGCCCAGACUCCUGCGGGAGGCAGCAGUGGGGAAUCUUGCGCAAUGGGCGAAAGCCUGACGCAGCCAUGCCGCGUGAAUGAUGAAGGUCUUAGGAUUGUAAAAUUCUUUCACCGGGGACGAUAGUGACGGUACCCGGAGAAGAAGCCCCGGCUAACUUCGUG
rnacentral:rRNA from 1 species